AGUCGUCGGGCGGAUGACUGAAUUGUAAGUCGUCUGGGUAUAAUUAAAUAUUGAAGUUUUUUUUUCAAUUUCAAAAUUAAUCUAUAACGAAUUAAUUGUAAGUCGUUUAGUGUUAAUAAAAUAUUGAUAUUUCAAUUUUCACCAGACGACUGAAAUAUAAGCCGUCCGGGAAAGUCAAACUUCUGAAAUAAUCCAGUCAAAUGCAAAACUAACCUAUGACCACUGAAAUUUAAGUCGUGUAGGUUCUUUGGAGAUUUUUUUGUAACCAAACAAAAUCAGACGACUUAACUUUCAGUCGUCUCGGAAAACAUAUUUCAAAGUCAAUUGCAAAAAUAACCUCUGUGUUGACAAGACGACUUCCAGGUAAGUCGUCUACAGCCAUACAACUUACCUGUAAGUUGUCUGGACGAACAGAUCUGGAAAAAAACUUGAUUUCAUACUUUAAAUUGGUGAGAUAACUUCCUUAGCACACAUAAGGCUUCUACAAGAACACAUAAUCUUAAACGAAAGUGACCCACCCAGAAUCGUUAGCUUCUUUGACUCUAUCAACCGUAAAAAUGUAGAAUCAAAAUCUUGAGUUUUUUUAGCUUAAUGUGGAGAGAAAGUGAGAGAGAUGUUGUGUUUAGUUCAUAAGAAUGGAGAAAGAAGAAGGGUAAAUCGAUUUUGGGAGCAUUAAGAGCUUCAAAUUGGUUGUUCAUGGUGGUUAGGGUAUUGAUGACAAUGGCAAUCUUGUAAUUACUUGAAGAUGAUGAGGGUGUGAGAGUAAAAAUGUCAUUUUCGAAAAAAAAAUAAAAAAAAAAUUGAUGGCAUUUUCGUUAAUUAUAUGAACUUGUGGGGUGAAUAGGGCAUAACUAAUUUAAAAAAAAAGGUGGUUAGUUUUGUGUUUGACUUUGAGUUGUAGGUGAAUUUUGCAAAAAACCCAUUCAUUAAAAUAUAAGGAUAUAGUUAUAUGUAAAUUACAUGAUAGAAUUGAUAAUAUAUAUAUACGAAGUUUAUUUUAUUGAUAUGAUCUUGAUAUUUUAGACAUUAAUUUUAUUAAUUUGUCAUUUUAAAUAAAGACUUUCAUUGACAUAUAUUUGUGCUAAACUUAAUUUAUUUAAUAAUAUUAUGAUAUUUUUAAUCUUUUCAUCUUAUGAAAUUAUAAUAAUUAUAAUUUAUUUAAUAGUUAUUUUUAUUAGUUAAAUAAAUUAGAAAGCAUCAUAAUUAAAAAUUAGAGUAUUGUUUAAUAAAUUCAAAUUUUAAUCACACAAAAAUAAAGUAAAUUUUUUUUAUAAAAGAUAAAUAUAGUUGAAGUUGUUGGUAUAAAAUCGAAUAAAUAAAAAACCGACAAUAUAUAACCCGAACCAAACAUAGUAGAUAUGGUUUUAUCAUGAUAUAUAAUUUUUUUUAAUUAACCACUAUGUCCGACGACCGAGGUAAGCCAAAUAUUAUGUGGGUCCCAGAAGUGUAAUAUUAAAUUAUCUAGUGGCCAACGGAGAUCAAACUGUAGGUUUAUCGUAUUGGAGUUAUCCCUCUAGUGCCACUAGCCCAAGAUCCGUUGAUUGGUAUCUAAUUUUUAUAUAUCCAAAUACCAAAAAAAAAACUGAAAAAACCAAAAUCCGCAUUAAGCAGCCAUACUUUGGAUAUAUAGUUUUUACACCCAUCUCAAGUUAGAUCAUUUUUAUUAGUAGAUUUAGAAUAUCAACCCAUAUCUAAUAGUCAAGAUAACGAUAUACAUCAAUAUCUUAGAAUAUGAAACUUAUCAUUAUCUUAUGUUUUUUUGUAACAGAAACUUAUCAUUAUCUAUAUGUAAUAUUUUGUAUUUCAUAACUAAUAUAGAAUAUUACAUUAUAGAUAAUGAUGAGUUUCAUUUCUAAGAUAUUGAUAUAUAUCCUUAAACUUGACUAUUAGAUAUGAGUUGAUCUUCUUGAUCUCCCAAUAGUUUUCAUCUUUGGCCAAGAAAAUAUUUUUUCUUUAACAUAUGAUUGUGUAUUCUACGUAUAAGAAUCAUAUUACGUAUGGAAAACUAAAAAAUAAUUCCAUAAAAGAUUCAGAAAUUUCCAUAAUUGGCAAUGGAGAUAAAGGGAAAUGAAAUCAUUUAUCUUUAUAAAAGUAGAAAGGAAAGACUAUAUUCCUCUUCAUCUUUGACCAUACAAAAUACCUUUCUUUUGCAUAUGUUUGUGUAUUAUAUAUAUAACCAGACCAAAGAAAGAAAAACUCAUAACAUUUCGUAAGAGAAUACAUUAUACAAUAUAUCCUAAGUGACUAUUACUAUGAGAACUUUAAUUGCAUUUGUUUUUACUGUCCUUUUUAUCAUAUCUGAUGCUCAUCGUUAUAUUCCACCUGUUCAUGCUCCGGGUAUUGGAAUAAAGCAGACGGACAUAGUAUGCUUUCCCCCAGAUCCGUGCAGACACAAUUGGAACGUAGGUUGCACUAGCCAUUGUCAUGACUGGGGUUAUUUUAUAGGUGUAUGUACUAACAACGAAUGUUGUUGUGAAAGAUAAUAUGCAUCGAAGAUGAAAUAAUCUAGUCAAAUGCACUUGUAUCUCUUUUCAAAACAUAAUAUUAAAUACUUUUUCAUGUGUUUUUUAUACAUAUAUGUAUACUAAAGAUUUAUAAUGCGAUAAAUUACCUAUAUCAAAUCAAAGUUAAUAUGAUUAAAUUCAGUAAUUUUUGGAAUCAGCUAUCUCUUUGUAAUUUGAAAAUUAAUUGAUUUAAGUUAUUGGGAGGCUGAAAAUAUCUGUGCUAGUAAUGGAGACGUACAUUUUAAAAUUACUCUUAGACCUGAGAAAAAAAAAAAAAGAGAAACAAGUGUUUCAUCUUCUUUCUUUAAAAACAUCUGACCCAAAACACGAUCAGUCCAGUUAAGAUUAGAGAAAUGGGUUUAGAUAACCAGCUUCUACGUCGUCUGCUUUUUCAUUCUUCCUCCGCGGUGACAGGCGAGAGAAGGACGAUGAGGAUCAUGAAGAAGAGAAAGUUGUAGUAAAGAGAGGAGAAAUCAUAGUUUGGGUCUUGGAAGUUGGAACAAAUUGUGAUGGAUGGAAAGUAAAAAGCCAUUAUACUAUUUAAAAUGAUUUAUUAAUAUUUGUGCAAAUCCUACAUUGUGAAUCGCUUUGUUUUCUGAAAAGAUCCAUUUUGUAAUCGGCAUCAAGUAAAGAAGAUGUGGAGAAGCCACGUCAUAGGAUACUCUCCACUAGGUACUACGAGAAGCCACGUCUUCUUGGGUUGCUUCAACGCUGGUUCAGUACACGUAUUGGAAGGACUUAGUUCUGUUAGUUCCUUUGGUGAUUCUUUACUUUAGAUUGCUAAACAUAGUUUGUAUAUAACAAUUCUUUUCUCUGAUGAUCAAUAAAUUUAAAAUUUCAUAAAAAAAAAAAAGAUGUGGAGAAACAUAAAAACCUAAGAGAAUAGUUGUAUGAAAGCUUUUACAUCUCCCAAUUAUUUUCGCGAUCCGCAGUAUUAGAUCCUACUAAGGGCUACUACGCAAGCGCAUGGUUGGAGAUGUGAUUGUUGCUCUAUAUAAAUAUGUGGAGGCGGUGUUGUGUUUGGCUGUGGUCUUUGAUUUGCCAGAUAUUUGUAUUAUAAAAGGACCGAGGAAUCGUGUCUCGUAGUCUGGUGGUAAAGGAACCUCGGCUGAGGUAUCCGCCAUCACGAGUUCGAGUUCCGGCCACAGUGGAUUUAACAUGGUUUUCGUUUGGCCUCCAGGACCUUCUUCGCCAAUUUUGGUUGGACGCGGUAGGAAAGUCAAACUAAAUGAAAGAUCCGGAUACCUGGAUUAUCAAAAAAAAAAAAGACCGAGGUGAGGCGAUCAACUGUGGUUAUUUUAUGUGUUUAAUAUUGUGUAUUAUUUUCUUGUUAUAACAAAGUAGUAUAUUUGUGGGAUUUAUUUAUUGUUAUUUUAUGUUGAAAUAAUUUCAUUAAUCCAAACUUGGUAACCUUUUCUUCUUUGGACCAAAGUCGGGUUUGAGUACAUGAUUAUCAAACAUUUGAUUGGGGCCCCCAUUUUUGGGGGUUCCGGUUAACAAUUUUUUUUUAUUCAAAAAUUAUUGGUUUCUAUAUUUAUUUAUAUAUAAAUAUAUAUAUUCAUAUAUUUAUAUAUAAUGCAAAUGUAAAAUAAAAAGUAAAAUACAUUUUAUAAUGCAUAAAUUUAAUAGAAAAUGUUAAAUUUUGGGUUAUUAUAAUUGAAAAUGACUAAAACUACAGUAAAAAGAAUAUUAUUUUUAUGGUAACUGAAACUAAUAACUUUUUAUUUAAAUACAAUAUAUAAUUCCAAUAAAGUUUGGAAAAAUUACCACAAAUACCACAUUCAUAAUAUAAUUUUUUUAUGUUUACGCUAACCACUUUUACCCUCACUUUUAAUGAAGAGUAAAAGAUACUUAUACCUUUAGAAUUAACUAAUCUAGACUUUGGAUUUAGAGUUGAGGGGUGAGGUAUGAUUUUUGGAAUGUGAAAUUUAGAAUUCUAAUAAAUAUAUAAAUAAAUACUUAAAAAAUAUUAAACAAAAUUUUUAAAAAUAGUUUCAAACAUAAUUUUUGAUUUUCAAAAAUAAAUUUUAAAAAAAAAAACAAAU